rnacentral:tRNA from 1 species
GGGGAAUUAGCUCAGCUGGCUAGAGCACCUGCCUUGCACGCAGGGGGUCAACGGUUCGACUC